rnacentral:rRNA from 1 species
UACAGAGGUCCCAAGCGUUGUUCGGAUUUAUUGGGCGUAAAGCGUGCGUAGGCGGUUUAGUGUGUGGGAAUUGAAAGCCCGGGGCUCAACUCCGGAUCCGGUUCCCAAACUGCUAGACUUGAGCGUAUCAGAGGACAGCGGAAUUCCCGGUGUAGCGGUAAUAUGCGUAGAUAUCGGGAGGAACACCAGUGGCGAAGGCGGCUGUCUGGGGUAUUGCUGACGCUGAGGCACGAAAGCGUGGGGAGCGAACAGG